rnacentral:rRNA from 1 species
GAUGAACGCUGGCGGCGUGCCUAAUACAUGCAAGUCGAGCGAAUGGAUUAAGAGCUUGCUCUUAUGAAGUUAGCGGCGGACGGGUGAGUAACACGUGGGUAACCUGCCCAUAAGACUGGAGAACUCCGGGAAACCGGGGCUCAUACCGGAUAACAUUUUGAACCGCAUGGUCCGAAAUUGAAACGCGGCUUCGGCUGUCACUUAUGGAUGGACCCGGGUCGCAUUAGCUAGUUGGUGAGGUAACGGCUCACCAAGGCAACGAUGCGUAGACGACCUGAGAGGGUGAUCGGCCACACGGGGACUGAGACACGGCCCAGACUCCUACGGGAGGCAGCAGUAGGGAAUCUUCCGCAAUGGACGAAAGUCUGACGGAGCGACGCCGCGUGAGUGAUGAAGGCUUUCGGGUCGUAAAACUCUGUUGUUAGGGAAGAACAAGUGCUAGUUGAAUAAGCUGGCACCUUGACGGUACCUAACCAGAAAGCCACGGCUAACUACGUGCCAGCCGCCGCCGUAA